AUGGCCGCGUCGCUGUCGAACCCGUGGCCACCGAGGCCCAUUCGCCGCUCCACCGUCUUCUGGAGUUCCGCCGCGUCCGUUUACGUCGACUACGUCCCUGGAUCGACGAGGAGGACCACCAGCAUCGUCGCCAAUUUCGUCUUCUUCCUUGGAUCACCGUCGCCCUUCGUCGUCGAUCCGGCCGAACCCCUGCGCUCCUAA
rnacentral:rRNA from 1 species